GAGCCCAGCACUCACUCUCCGCGCCAGCCCAUCCUGUGCCCUCCCCGCCGCACUCCCUCUGCCCCCAAAACUAUCUGAGGCUCCUGGGAGGGAGGAGAAGCCAGAGCAGCCACCUCCAGUCCAGAACUUCCAGGAAUGGGAUAGGGGAGAGACAAGGAGAGGGAGAAAGGAGUGAAGAAGACCCUGAGACCGGGCGGCUAAGAGGGAAGUGCUAACAGAACUGGAUUGGGGUAAGGAUGACUCCAAAACAACUAGAAGGAUUUAAUUGCACUAACUGAGAUGGGGAAGACUCUGGGAGGGACUAGUUUGCAGGGGAAGAUGAGUCCAUGUUGGACAUGAAGGGAGAGUUCACAAGACACAGCUGAUCACAAAGAGCUUGGUAAUAGUUCCUUUGGGGGAGGCUCCUCAGCCCUGCAGCUGGGAGACUGGGAGUGGGAGAAGGCCUCUUAGACUCCGUGCACCUGCAGUCCUUCUCCUGCCCACAUGCCGUGUGUGGGGAGGGAGCAUUGUCACCGUAGGUGCAGCCGAGCUGGCCAACCCAGCUUCUCACUCCACCUUGGCAGAAAAUGGGACUGACACUCCAGUCCUUACUGAUUGAGAUGAGGCCCCUUCUGAACUGCUGUCCAGGAGUGGAGGUGGUUGGCCACAUACUCAGCCCAAGCCAGUUUCCCUCUGGACUAUGUGGGACAAUGUGGCAGGGUACUGGGUAGAGCUUUACUGCAAAAAUAAACAAGGAAAGAGAAUCA